rnacentral:rRNA from 1 species
AGAGUUUGAUCCUGGCUCAGGAUGAACGCUAGCGGCAGGCUUAACACAUGCAAGUCGAGGGGCAGCGAGGGUGAUAGCAAUAUUACCUGUCGGCGACCGGCGCACGGGUGCGUAACGCGUAUGCAACCUACCAUCAACAGGGGGAUAACACUGAGAAAUUGGUACUAAUACCCCAUAAUAUCUCAUGCGGCAUCGCAUGGGGUUGAAAACUCCGGUGGUUGAUGAUGGGCAUGCGUUGUAUUAGCUGGUUGGUGAGGUAACGGCUCACCAAGGCGACGAUACAUAGGGGGACUGAGAGGUUAACCCCCCACAUUGGUACUGAGACACGGACCAAACUCCUACGGGAGGCAGCAGUGAGGAAUAUUGGUCAAUGGACGGAAGUCUGAACCAGCCAUGCCGCGUGCAGGAAGACGGCUCUAUGAGUUGUAAACUGCUUUUGUACAAGGGUAAACCUGAAUACGUGUAUUCAGCUGAAAGUACUGUACGAAUAAGGAUCGGCUAACUCCGUGCCAGCAGCCGCGGUAAUACGGAGGAUCCAAGCGUUAUCCGGAUUUAUUGGGUUUAAAGGGUGCGUAGGCGGAUUGAUAAGUUAGAGGUGAAAUGUCCGAGCUCAACUCGGGAACUGCCUCUAAUACUGUUGAUCUAGAGAGUAGAUGCGGUAGGCGGAAUGUAUGGUGUAGCGGUGAAAUGCUUAGAGAUCAUACAGAACACCGAUUGCGAAGGCAGCUUACCAAUCUAUAUCUGACGUUGAGGCACGAAAGCGUGGGGAGCAAACAGGAUUAGAUACCCUGGUAGUCCACGCAGUAAACGAUGAUAGCUCGUUGUCGGCGAUACACAGUCGGUGACUAAGAGAAAUCGAUAAGCUAUCCACCUGGGGAGUACGUUCGCAAGAAUGAAACUCAAAGGAAUUGACGGGGGCCCGCACAAGCGGAGGAACAUGUG